AUGAAUUAAAUAUGUUUAUUAUAUUAUAUGUAUUAUUGCAUAAUUUUGGUGAUUAUGUUCAAAUCUUUUUCUAACAUGAAAAUAUUUGAAUAUUGGUGCAUUGUAUUAUAUUAUAUUAUUAUUAUUUAGUCAAUGCAAUAUUUAACAAAAAUAUUUAAUACAGUUAUCUAACCUUAAUGUAAGAGUCCUAUCAUUUGUUAUUUUUAACUCUGGCAAUGCAAAAUCUAUAUUUAGAAGGAAUACCCUUUUUCCUGUAUUCCUGUAUUUCUAUUGGAUAAAAUUGGUCAGCUGUUACUUUAUUGGUCAUGUGACAAUUUUAGUGGGAAAUUUCUUUGUUAAACCAGUUCCUAUUUGGAAGUCUACUUGUGUAUACUUGAAAUUUACAUUCUUUAUCAGGUCAGUUAAUUUACAAUUUUUUUUAUACUACCUUAUAUUUAAAUACAGUUUUAUUGUGAGAUUAUUUAUAAAGAUAUCUAAGAUAGUAUAUAAUUGGCUUAGAAAUGAAAUGACUAAAUAUCAGAAAGUUUGUUUAAUAGUAAAAUUCAGUCUGAUCAGUGAGUACAAAGCAUUGUAAGUGUAUUUUCUUUUCUUAAAUUUAGAUUAUCAACUACAGUAUUAUUUAUACAUCCUGAAUAUUGUUCCUAAUCAACCUUUACACCUCAUGUGAGGGUUUAUUUAUACCUAUUUUGUAAUUGAUUACAUCAAAUAAAGAAGUAAAUUGAA